rnacentral:tRNA from 1 species
GUGUGGUUCAGUGGUAGAGCAUCUGCUUUACACCCAGAAGGUCCCAGGUUCUAUCCCUGACAUCGCCCA